GACGAACGCUGGCGGCGCGCUUAACACAUGCAAGUCGAGCGAGAACCAGGCCUUCGGGCCUGGGGACAGCGGCGAACGGGUGAGUAACACGUGGGUAAUCAACCCUCGAUACUGGGAUAGCCCGGGGAAACCCGGAUUAAUACCGGAUGGCCCUUUGGAUCCUCGGAUCUGACGGAAAAGGUAGCUUCGGCCUCCGAUCGAGGACGAGCCCGCGGCGGAUUAGCUUGUUGGUGAGGUAACGGCCCACCAAGGCGACGAUCCGUAGCUGGUCUGAGAGGACGAUCAGCCACACUGGGACUGAGACACGGCCCAGACUCCUACGGGAGGGCAGCAGUGGGGAAUCUUGCGCUAAUGCGGGAAACCGUGACGCAGCGACGCCGCGUGAGGGAAGAAGGCCUCGGUUGUAAC
rnacentral:rRNA from 1 species